ACCUCUUCAAAAGGAGAGACAGAAGGGUUUAUCUGUAUACCUGUACACGCCCAUCGCUUAUUUCAACGGCAGAUAUAUUUUUAUCGUCGAUAGACGGCAGUGUAAAAGUGUCUUUAGAAGAAACAAUAAGAUAUUUGAAGUGACUGAAAACACACGUUUGGAGAGUAUGGAGGCUAUUUCAAAACAUGAUUUCACAGCAACAGCAGAUGAUGAACUUAGCUUCUGUAAAGGGCAAGUUCUAAAGGUUUUGAAUGUUGAAAAUGACAUGAACUGGUAUCGAGCAGAACUUGAUGGAGCUGAAGGACUUAUACCGAGUAAUUACAUCGAAAUGAAGAAGCAUGACUGGUAUUAUGGCAGGAUUACAAGAGUAGAUGCAGAGAAACUACUUCUAAAUAAACAUGAAGGAGCGUUCCUUGUUCGAGUUAGUGAGAGUUCUCCAGGAGACUUCUCACUUUCUGUCAAGUGUGGUGAUGGUGUUCAACACUUCAAAGUUUUGCGUGAUUCUCAAGGCAAGUUCUUUUUGUGGGUGGUCAAGUUUAACUCUCUAAACGAACUGGUAGAGUACCAUCGAUCUGCAUCUGUAAGUCGUGUCCACGACAUCAAAUUGAAGGACAUGCAUCCUGAAGAGUUUUUGGUGCAGGCUCUAUAUGACUUCCAAGCCCAGGAAUCAGGUGAACUAGAAUUUAGACGGGGUGACAUUAUCACAGUUAUUGAACAUUCAGAUUGCAACUGGUGGGAGGGGGAGAUUGGGUCCAAGAGAGGGUUUUUCCCUGCAACCUAUGUUGUUCCUUAUCACACAUAGUAGUACAUUGGAUGUGAAAUUGAAGGAACUCCAAAGUAAGCUGUAACAACUUAAGAAAAUUCUGUUUUCACUGCUGAAAUGGAUUAAUAUUAACUGUUUGGAUAUAUGACAUAUAUAACCCUUCCUUAUUCAAUUUACAUGUUUUUGAAUUUACUUAGUUGUUAUAACUUAAAUGCUUCUUUUUUUUUCUUUGAAGCAAUUUUUUUUUUUUUCUGAAAACUGUUUUUAUUUAAAAUAUUUUGUGUGUGCACCAUUUUGGAAGUUUUUCUCUGUGAGAGAUGUUGGUAUAUUAAAAAUAACAAAGUAUCAGCUGUGAAUGAGCAUUACAGUUACUCAGUAAACUGCUGAAUGACAGUGUUUCUAUCAACAAACCAGAAAAGCUUACUGUUCAAGUUAUUAUGGUUUACAAAAGUAUUCUAGUAAUGCUUAUUUAUUCAUUGAUAUAAAAGAAAGAUAAAAGUAUCAUGCUGUAAAGAAUAUUAUAGAUUAUCUCUGAGUUGAUAUUGAUAAAACGUUUUUUGUGUGUCUUUAUAUUCUGAUUUUCUUAAGAUUUCACUAAAACUCGAUAUAUUUUACAUAAAAGUGUACCUAUUUCAAAGGUAUAUAAAGUAUCAAUGGCUUUAUGUAACUUUAAAAAUUAUUGUUAGUGUAAUAUCAAAACCUACAAAUUAUGUAUAUCAACUUUAAAGAUCUAGUUAUUGAAACUUAGGUAUGUUUAUAGUUGAUUGGCUAAGAAAUCUUGAAGAUUCAGGAAUUCACUUAGUGUGAUGGUGAGGAUGAACUUUUGAAAGAUAGUGUAUGUGAUCAUACCUCAUUUUUUUACUUUUUUAUACCAGAAAUAUUUCUGAUCUUAAGAUUUUUUCUUGUUUACAAGUAUACUGCCAUCUCCUAACGCGAAAAGAUUUUUUACACACUUUUUUUCUUCUGAAUGUGAAAAAUUUUGAAAUAUUUUUACAUUUUAUAGUGAUUUAGUGAAAAUACAGAAAUCCUCUAUGAUGCUUUUGUAAGAUACUGAUGUUUCCAAGCACAAUAACAUGAAACAUGUAACUUGAAAUUAUCAUUCAACUUAACUUUUAGAAAGUUUCUACUUAAUGAUUCUUAAAGAAUAGCUUGUUGUACACCACAAGUGUCUAACAAAUGAAAUAAAGUUACUGAAAAUCACAGUGUUACUUUAGAUACCAACUUAGUUAACUUUCAACAUUACAGACAACAUUUAGAAACAAGCUGUGAAUGUAGGCAGUACCAUUGCUUCUUAUUGAGAGUUGUUAUGAACGUAACAGUUAGAAGCUAGAUUAUUUACCAACCUGCAAAUGUAGGCAGUACCGUCGCCAUAUCUCUCUGAGAGUUGUAUGAACAUAACAGUUAUGAGCUGGAUUAUUUACCAACCUGUGGAUGUAGGCAGUACCAUUGCUGCAUAUCACUGAGAGUUGUUUGAACGUAACAGUUAUGAGCUAGAUUAUUUACCAACCUGUGACUGUAGGCAGUACUGUCGCUGCAUCUCACUGAGAGUUGUUAUGAACGUAAUAGUUAUGAGCUAGAUUAUUUACCAACCUGUGAAUGUAGGCAGUACCAUUGCUGCAUAUCACUGAGAGUUGUUAUGAACGUAACAGUUAUGAGCUGGAUUAUUUACCAACUUGUGAAUGUAGGCAGUACCAUUGCUGCAUAUCACUGAGAGUUGUUAUGAACAUAACAGUUAUGAGCUGGAUUAUUUACCAACUUGUGAAUGUAGGCAGUACCGUCGCUGCAUAUCACUGAGAGUUGUUAUGAACGUAACAGUUAUGAGCUGGAUUAUUUACCAACCUGUGAAUGUAGGCAGUACCAUCACUGCAUCUCACUGAGAGUUCUUAUGAAUGUAACAGUUAUGAGCUAGAUUAUUUACCAACCUGUGAAUGCAGGCAGUACCAUCACUGCAUCUCACAGAGUUCUUAUGAACGUAACAGUUAUGAGCCGGAUUAUUUACCAACUUGUGAAUGUAGGCAGUACCAUUGCUGCAUCUCACUGAGUUGUUAUGAACAUAACAGUUAUGAGCUGGAUUAUUUACCAAUCUGUGAAUGUAGGCAGUACCAUUGCUGCAUCUCACUGAGUUGUUGUGAACGUAACAGUUAUGAGCUGGAUUAUUUACCUACUUGUGAAUGUAGUCCGUACCAUUGCUUUUUAUUGAGAGUUGUUAUGAACGUAACAGUUAGAAGCUAGAUUAUUUACCAGUCUGCGAAUGUAGGCAGUACCGUCGCUGCAUCUCACUGAGAGUUGUUAUGAAUAUAACAGCUAUAAGCUGGAUUAUUUACCAACCUGUGAAUGUAGGCAGUACCACUGCUUCUUAUUGAGAGUUGUUAUGUACUUAACAGUUGGACUAUGUACCAGUGUAGGUAAUAAGUACCAUCACUUAUUGUUGAGAACUGUUAUAAAUCAGAUCUCCUCAGGCAGCUUGGUUAUUGCACCUGAAGUAGCCCCUAGUGGCUCAGUGGGAACUCUAAAGGCUUUUAAUGCUAGAAACCAAGUUUUGAUACCCGUGGGUGGCACAGCACAGUUAGCCCAUUGUGUAGUUUACACUUAACUACAAUUAAAUGAAUAUAGCACCCACAGUCAUAGUUCUGUUACUAGUUGAAACUCUCACUAAAUAUAUUAAAAGCUUGAAACUUUUAUAUUGCAUAAUCUAACAUAGUUUGAAACUUUCAGAGUUUGAUGAAACAUCACAGUUUUAUACUACAGUGAUGUUUAAUACUUUGUUAUAAGUUGCAAGAAAAAUUUAAAUCCUGUUACAGUCAGCUGAGAAUGUAUUUUAUUACACUGCCUUGCCUAGAAGGUUCAAUAUACUUCCAAAUGUAGCAUUAUACCCUUAGAGUCUGGUGGCAUAGGUUAAUUACCGAAAGAAAGUGGAACAUUUUAAAACAUAUUUUAAGUUUCACUAUUUACAAUUUAAAUUAUAUCCUUAACAAAAAGGCAGUAAUAAGUGAUAAAAUUAAAAUAUCAUAUUACCUAGUUCUCUCCUGUUUUAUUGUACUACACAUUUAUAUAAUGCUAAAACAUUGAAAGUUAAACACAUAAAAUUGACUGGUUCUCUGAACCAGUAUUAUAUAAAAUAAAUUGUAUUAUUGUUAUCAUUAAGCAUUAUAACACUAUGAAACUUGUGAUAAAAAUAUCUGCUGUUUUACUGACAUUUAUAGCACUGUCUUACCAUCUCACAGUGUUGUAGUUUAUCCUGUUACAAGCAAUCUUGUGAUGUGGCAUUACACAUUGUUUAUUUCUUCAAACUUCAUAAACAAAAGUGUAUAUGUGCUUUUACAGCCAUUGUCAUGGUUAAGGCUACAUAGCUUGACAUCCAGUCAACACAUCCAUAGUAAACGUACUUAGUGCUUUUACGGCCAUUGUCAUGGUUAUGGCUACUAAUCAUAGCUUUACAUCCAGUCAACGCAUUCAUAAUACAAGUACUUGGUGCUUUUACAGUCAUUAUCAUGGUUAUGGUUACUAACCAUAGCUUGACAUCCAGUCAACACAUCUAUUGAAGACGUACUUAGUACUUUUACAGUCAUUAUCAUGGUUAUGGCUAUUAACCAUAACUUGACAUCCAGUCAACACAUCCAUUGAAGACAUACUUAGUACUUUUACAGCCGUUGUCAUGGUUAUGGCUACUAACCAUAGCUUGACAUCCAGUCAACACAUCCAUUGAAGACAUACUUAGUACUUUUACAGCCGUUGUCAUGGUUAUGGCUCCUGACCAUAGCUUGACAUCUAGUCAACACAUCCAUUGAAGACAUACUUAGUACUUUUACAGCCGUUGUCAUGGUUAUGGCUCCUGACCAUAGCUUGACAUCUAGUCAACACAUCCAUUGAAGACAUACUUAGUACUUUUACAACUAUUAAGUACAGUAUAUUUAUUGUAAUAUGAAUUGAUGAUAUCUUAGAUUCAUUUUUGUUUGGUUUAAAAAUAAUGAUUCAGCCAAUACGUUGAAGUUUUAUUUUUUUAGUAAACACCAAACUUCAUACUUUUUGUUACAAAGGUAGUUCAAGCUAAAUGCUGAAUAUAAUAAUAUUGUUCUAAAUAAUUAGUAGGUUACUGAAUCCAAUGUAAAAAAAUCAGUGACUGAACAUCAACACUAUCACAGUUGCUUUGAGAGGCUAGAUUUGUCAUAUGUACAUCAUAUUUGCUGGUAUUCUAUUGGAUAGCAGAGAGUUUAUGUACAAAUUACAAACAAAACCAAUAUUCGUUAAUCAACUUGAAUUAUCAAAUACAUUUCAAUCAUUAGUAUGAUGUUUGUCAAAUACAUAAAAGUGCAUUGUCUUGUACUUGAAAAUAUUGCACUAGCAAUCGAAACAUUUUAUCUAAAUUUAAAUUAGUUUAAUAAUAGAUAUUUAUUUCCCACUACAAUUUGUUGUCCAAAGUGAAUAAUGAUGAUUCUUAUUUGAUUACGAGUUACAGCUUUUACAAUAUGGAAGAAUAUGUUUAAAGCAGUUACGAUGUUUCGAUCACUUAACUAUGUGAUCAUUCUCAAGUACACAAGUUUUAACGGUAAAGAAUGUUUUAGUAUUUAAACCAACAUUUAACAGUCUAACAAUGUAUUUAAAUUCUAGAAUUCAUAGUAUACAUAUCAAUCAGCAUGAAUUGACAGAUUAUUUAUUUGUGGCCGAACAAAAAAAACCUGAAGUGAAUGAGUAAGUAAACUCAAAAUGAAACUGUUAAUACUGAUUAACUAAUAAUACUGUUUAAGGAACUAUAAGAAGCUGUCAUUUUUGUGGGUUGUUUUUCCAUAACUCAUCCAUGUGGGAAGGUUUUCAAUUAAUUUUAUAUUUUUAGUCAGCAUAGACUGGCUUUGCCUAGCUAUUUUUAAUGCUAAUGAUUUCUAGCUACAAGCCUUCUUGUCUUUCUCUUCCCUGUUAUUAUUGGCAAUAAUUUUUAUUAGUUGCUGUCCCACUGGAUGUUUUUCAUUAGUCACUACUCUACUGGAUGUAAGUAUAAUGUAAUAUACAAAGAUUGAAAGGAGGAAGGGGUAUUGUUAAUUUUACUGUUAGCUGUCUGUACUUUUUGCAUUAGUUACUUGUUCACUUAGCUCCUAUUGGAGAAAAUAGCAGGAAACUUUCAUCAUCAUUAUCAUGUGUGUGAAAUACAUCUUAUUUUUCCCCUUUUUAUUAGUUUUUAUGAUUAGCAAAUGUGGAGUUUCUUGGGUAAAAACAGGACUAAAAUACUUAAAUGAAAAUAAUGUGAAAUGUGCAUUGCAUGAAACUGUAAUACUCGUAACUUGAGAAGAAUUAUUCUGAAUCUCAGUAACAAUGAUGAUCAUAACAGAUGUGUAAGUACAUUGUGAAUAUUCAUACAUAAACAGAUGUGUAAGCAUAUUGUGAAUAUUCGUACAUAAACAGAUGUGUAAGCACAUUGUGAAUAUUCAUACAUAAACAGAUUUGUAAGCACAUUGUGAAUAUUCUUACAUAAACAGAUGUGUAAGCACAUUGUGAAUAUUCGUACAUAAACAGAUGUGUAAGCACAUUGUGAAUAUUCGUACAUAAACAGAUGUAUAAGCACAUUGGGAAUAUUCGUACAUAAACAGAUGCAUAAGCACAUUGUGAAUAUUCAUACAUAAACAGAUGCGUAAGCACAUUGUGAAUAUUCAUGCAUAAACAUGUGUAAGCACAUUGUGAAUAUUCGUACAUAAACAGAUGUGUAAGCACAUUGUGAAUAUUCGUACAUAAACAGAUGUGUAAGCACAUUGUGAAUAUUCGUACAUAAACAGAUGUGUAAGCACAUUGUGAAUAUUCGUACAUAAACAGAUGUGUAAGUGCAUUGUGAAUAUUCGUACAUAAACAUGUGUAAGCACAUUAUGAAUAUUCAUACAUAAACAUGUGUAAGCACAUUAUGAAUAUUCAUACAUAAACAUGUGUAAGCACAUUAUGAAUAUUUGUACAGAAACAGGUGCAUAAGCACAUUGUGAAUAUUCAUACAUAAACAGAUGUGUAAGCACAUUGUGAAUAUUCAUACAUAAAUUAUCUAGUGAAAUGGUACUUGGAUUACACACUUCAUAUCUUAUAAGAUUGAGGUAUUUAGUUUAAUUUGAACUGUAAUAUAUUGCUAACAUCUUAGCACCUUCAGCUUGUCAACUUAAAUGUGUUCAUUGUUGUUUGUUUUGGGACCUUAUAUAUAUAUAUAUAUUAUUUAAUUUUUUGGUCAAUUUAUGGACUUUUAUAAUUGCAGUUCUUCUGUUUCAAAAAUUGCAUUAUAGCCAGUACUAAAAAAUUUCUUGGAAAUCUUUACAUGAAAUUUUAUAUUUUAUUCAAAUAAAUAUAUUUUACAUAUAUUUCAUUCUUUGAAUAUUCUAGUUCAAUGACGUAGUGUGCAUGUAACUUGCAGGAGAAACUCAACAUUAUUAAAGCGAGUUACUACAUGUGCAAUAUUAUUAUUUUUUUAAAUGCAAGAGAUACAACUUUAUAGAAAACACUUGUGUUUUGAUUUAUGACUUAAACUUAAAUAUAAACUAAAGUUGCAUUAAAUUUAGUUAACUUUGUAUAAAGAAUGUUUUUAGUUAGAAAUCAAUAUAUUUAUAUACUACAUUUUUAAGUGAGCACAAAAUGGACUUGUUCUUUUAAAUGAUGUAAUACUUGAAUACAUUUUGUGUCUCUAUUCAAGAAAAAAGAAUAAUAACUGCAAGAGUUUUUAAGUAGUAUUUUUGGUUAGAUUUAUUAAAUUGUUUCGUGUGCAGAGCAGAUGUUUCUUAGUUAAUUCUGUUUAUUGAAAGGCUCCAUCUACAUUAUAAUAGCAGUAACCAGAGAUAUUUGUGAGAUUUCAUUUAGCAAAUCAAGAAGUAACAGGAAUAAGGUUGUGACUUGAAAGGAAAGGAAAUGUUUUAUAUAAAUAUAUUUAUAGCUCAUAAUGUUUUGGAAGGUGAAUAUAUUAAGAAAUAUAUAUUUGUAUACAUAGAAAGUGAAUGUUGUCAUAUUUAUUGAAACAAGUUUACAUAAGAGUAAUUUCUUUGGAGUGAUCAUCAAUUUAAAUUCACACCCAAGAUUAAUAAAGUAUUUAAUAUUUUUUCACUAAAACUUGAAAGAAAAACUUUGGUGGUUUUGUUUAAUACCAGAAUUUGUUUUAACCAGUUUCAGUAUAAAUAUAUAAUAUUGUAUUUUGUGACACCCCUAUUAAUUAAUUGUUAUGUUCAACUUGGUGGAUACAGAUGAGGAAAGAAACAUUUUCUCUGCUCCCUAGAAAGUAAAAACAUGUUAUUAAAAGCUAGUGUCAACUAUAAUCUUAAACCAGAAAAUAAUUAUUCUGUUUAUAGUUAUGGUUCAUAAAUUCUAUAAUGUCCUAUUUUUCUACAAGUUUCAGUUAAGUAUAUGUGAGCAUUCUUUCUCAUGAUGUCUCCGAAAUGUUGUUUAUGCUUCAGUAUUUCAAAUUCCUUGAUUAAAUAAAUUGCAUGUUUUGAUCAAUAAUACAUGAUUAUUCCAUGUGAAAAGCAGAAACUCAUUGUUACCACACAUAAGUUUUUUUAAGAAGGUCAAAUGAUUACUGACUGUGGCAUUUUGUUAUUAUUAUUUAUCUUUGAACUAUAGUCACUCACACACACCAUCAUUAAAUUCAUUCUUGUUAUAUAGAAAAAGAUAAGUGGCCAUUCUAAAUUGUUAUAUAUACCUUCUAUAACAUGUUACAAGUUGUUUAUCCUUCUUAUCUCUUAUUUAAAAACCUGUACCUCACUACCACUAGUUAAAACAUCAUCAUACAAAUAUAUGUUUAACUUGAGAGAUUAAUAUAUAUAAUGUUUGUUAAAUUUAAAACUUUGUUAAAUUCAUUCUAAGACCCUUUUCUGAUCCAAACAAAAAUCUAAGAGUAAAGUUUUGUGGAACACCGUGUAUUACAGCCAGACAUUUCACACAGUCCAUUGUUAAGGUAUCAAACUGUGAAGUGUUUAAUAUAGUGUACACUGGCUAGUACAGCUAGAAAAUUCACAAAUCCCAUUGCUAAGGUACCACACUAUAUAGUGUUUAAUAUAGUGUACACUGGCCAUUAUAGCCAGACAUUGUUAAGGUAUUGCAUUUUGAAGUAUCUAAUAUAGUGUACACUAGCUAUUAUAGCCAGACAGUUCACACAGUAAAUUGUUAAGGUAUCAAAGUGUGAAGUGUUUAAUAUAGUGUACAUUUCACACAACCUAUUGUUAACGUACCACACCAUGAACUGUUCAAUGACAUAUUAAGUGUUAUAAAACUGCUUUUUGUUUCAACAGUUGUUACUUUGAAAUGUACAGUGUUGUUACAAGUUUUCAGUUUGUGUAGAGUGAGUGAUGCUUUUUUAAAUGUUUUAAAAUGACUAAUUAGUGUUGUUGUGUUUUUU
rnacentral:misc_RNA from 1 species